GCUCAUCGUUCCAGAGGAGGGCAGAGGUGGAGUCAGACGGGCCGAGCCGGUGCAGCCACGGGGUCAGAAAGGAGCAGCACCACCUGGCGCUGGCACUGGACCCGGCUUCAAGAGGCGCCGCCUGCAAGGGAGGGCGGGUGUAGGGCAGGGCGAGGAGUGUAGCCCGACCCGGGAGGUCAGCGGGGCAGGGCCAAGGAGGGGGUGUGUCCCGGGGAGCAGGGAGCUGGGAGGCGCCAGGCCAGGAGCCAGCAUUCACGCUGUCAAUCACUUAUCCCCUCAAGGAACAAGCGUGCUGGGCGCCAACUGUCUGCUGAGCAUCUGGCGGGCUCCGGACACCAAGGUGAAUGAGGCAUGUUCCUGCCCUUAGUGGUGAGGACACCAUGACGUGUGUUCUUUGUUUUGCUUUUUUUUUUUGGAGACAGGGUAUGUGUAGUCCAGCUAUGUAGUCCAGCUAGCCUGGAACUCACUAUGGAGCUCAGGCUGGCCUCAAACUCACGGUGAUCCUCCUGCCUCGGCCUCUCGAGUGCUGGGAUUACAGGUGUGUGCCACCGAACCUGGCCUGGCAGUCAUUUCAGUUUUGCAAUUUGGUGACUUCUCAGAAGAUAGCUUCGAGCUGUAAGAAACUAAAACUGGGUUUGACAAUGAAGUGCAUUGUUCUGGGAUCCAGGUCUUCCGGGCAGCCCAGGUCAGCGGCUCAAGCCCCGCUCCCAGCAACCCUUGCGGCUGCACUUCCGGAACCAGAAGGUGGAAACAACACAUGUCCACCUGGAGGAAUGGAUGAAUAGAUAAACAAAAGUGCUGCUAUCAGGAUGCUCUGUGGCCAAGCCCAAAGCAACCACAAACAGAAACCUCUGGAACUGGGAGCCAAAAUCCACCUUUCCUCUUUUUAAAUUGAUCCAUCUCGGGUGUUUGUUACAACAGCAGAAAGCUGACUUUCACAAGUGCUUUCACUGGAGCAGGACUGAGUCCAGUAGUCUCACGAAGAACUGCACAGGGCUCCACUCCCACCUUGGCCACCACUCGCUCCUGAACCUGCUUUUUGGGCGUGAGGAGGCCAAGACCCUGCGUGGGAGCUCCUGCACCUGCUGGGGCCUCCAAGUGCAAGGUUGUCUCCCAGUGCUGUCCCACCAUGGACAAGCUCUUCUUCGUGCCCAAAGAGAUCCUGCAGCAGGGUGUGCUGGUGCAUGCCUGUAAUCUCAGCACGCAAGAGGCUGAGGCAGGAGGAUCAC